rnacentral:lncRNA from 1 species
GCCCCACCUCACCCUCAGCCCCCCUGCACGGAGCCACUCGUGUCCUGGGUCCCUCUCGCCUCCACUCAGCAGCCUCAUGGCCUCCUGCGCCUCGUGCCCCUCCUGUCCUGAGGGUGCCUCUGGCCUCACUGCAUCCCACAUCCUCGGGGACAGCUGGCUGGUGUCAGCUGCAUGAAAGCGGAUGCAGUUUCCAGGCUGCUCAGGCCAGGUGGGAAGAUGCUAAGUCCUGCAGCCGCCUGGCCUGACUCGCCUUGAGCCGGCCUGCCCCAGGUUUUUUAUGAGCAGCUGCCGUCAUUACAGCUGGAAUUCUUCCAGAAGGUGUGAGAAUGCCAGAGCCAGGUGGCAGCAGUGACCUCUGGGCUUGAGCCCUUGGCCAGAAAGGGCAUAGCCCCUGGGCAGAGGACACCAGCUGCUUCCCACAAACGCUGAGGACCGACCCUGAAGGCAGGGACCUUCAGAGGGACACGGCCUGCUUCCACCCCAAGUCUCAAGUCCAGCGGCUGCCCGGGGCAGGGUCCAUGCACCUUGGGGAGUCUGCGUCCCUGCAGCCUCCGGGGCAGGACUGAGGCACCCGCUGAGGACACAGAAGCCGGCACCUGACCGGCUCCUCCAGCUCCAGCCCCAGAGGCUUCCGUGAUCAAUCACAAUAUGCAAAUCGCUCAUUUAUGAAAUCUCAUCACACCAGGGCAGCCUGAUUCAUUAUUCAACACUCCAGGACUCUGGAGGAAGACCCUCCCAGCCCACUGGCCGCUGUGC